rnacentral:rRNA from 1 species
GAUGAACGCUGGCGGCGUGCUUAACACAUGCAAGUCGAACGGAAAGGCCCAAGCUUGCUUGGGUACUCGAGUGGCGAACGGGUGAGUAACACGUGGGUGAUCUGCCCUGCACUUCGGGAUAAGCCUGGGAAACUGGGUCUAAUACCGGAUAGGACCACAUUUUGGAUGGUGUGGUGGAAAGUUUUUCGGUUUGGGAUGAGCUCGCGGCCUAUCAGCUUGUUGGUGGGGUAAUGGCCUACCAAGGCGUCGACGGGUAGCCGGCCUGAGAGGGUGUACGGCCACAUUGGGACUGAGAUACGGCCCAGACUCCUACGGGAGGCAGCAGUGGGGAAUAUUGCACAAUGGGCGCAAGCCUGAUGCAGCGACGCCGCGUGGGGGAUGACGGCCUUCGGGUUGUAAACUCCUUUCGCUAGGGACGAAGCGCAAGUGACGGUACCUGGAGAAGAAGCACCGGCUAACUACGUG